AGCACAGACCUAACAGACCAGAGAUGUGACCCUGUAAUUACAGCUUCUAUGUCACCCAACAGAUGUAACUAUAGC